UGCAGAAAUGCCAGCGGCAGAUCUGGUGUCUUCUUCAUUGGACCCAUACGUGUCACUUAUUAACGAGGUUUAAAACACAGCUUAAUCUUUACAUCCCUCAGUAAGAGAUCUUCCUGCUCUGCGUGCUCGUGUCCUCGAUGACAGGGCUGUUUCUCAAAGAUCAAAGGAUUCUAAGGGUGUUUUGUGUGUGCACUCAGCGAAACAGUUCACAUUCUGAUCCUAUAAGUUUAAAGUGGGAGGAAAGACCAAUUCAAGGGGAAAUCGGGAUCUCUUCCAAAUAAUGGUCUCUGGAAUCCCCUGCUUGAAAAUAAACUCAGCAGCUCGGAGUGGUUUGGCUGGUGCAGCUGUAAGAAGCUGCUCGCCAGGACUCAGAGUUGAAGAGAACCACUGAAACCUGCAGUUACUAGUGAGGAUAAUUUGGGUGGUUUUUCCUGGUCUUGUAUUGUGGCGGCAGGUGAGGAGAGUAAAAAUGUAGAUGGAAGGGGCGUUGCGCGACGGAGGUCGGGUUUCUUGGCCUCUUCCCCGGUGAGGCUGCAGCCCUAGUACAGAGGAUCCCAGCUGGAAGGAUGAGGCCAAAAAGGGAAGGCGUUGUGGUGUAAAUACCAGGGCAAUUAGCUGAUAAGUAAAUGUUUGGUUUUACUUCCAGCUUUUAUAGCGAGAGCUCAAAGCUGCUUAGAAGGUUUUCCUCGCAGGAAAGCGGUGACAACUUACUUAGAGAUGUCUGUCCUUGUCUCUUGUCCCUCCCCGCUGCUUGUGUUCUUUCCUUGUUCAUUUUUAGUGCACUGGUAUUUAUAGCUGUUGCAAAACCAAGACCAGAGCAGUGAAAUAUUGAGCCAGCAAUUAGCAUAUACAGUAUCUUAAAAAAAAAAAAAAAACCCAGCCGAAUGGAAGUGUUUCAGAGAACAGCUGCAGGUGAGAUGCCUUUAUAGGAGAAGCAGAGGGAUAAAAUGCUCCAUUCCACAGGAAAGUGUGAUGCUACCUGGAGGAUGCUUCUCCUUCACGAUUAGCAUCGUCAUUUAGGUGACGUUUUCCCACUUGAAGACUUUCCACUGGAAAAUCUACAGGGUAACGAGUGGCUGCUGGGGUUAGACGCGACGUCCGCGCUGGUGGAGCGGGACUCGAACCUGAACCUGCGUUUACACGCGCCGUUUGAUUGUGGACGUGGUGGGUUGGCGGUGCCAGCUUGCGCUCCCCCCCCCCAGGGCUGGGUUCGGGGGACGAGCAGGGGGCUGUUUCCGUUAAGCGGCGUGGACGUGGUCACGCUGCUGCAGGACAAGAGUGUAGCCACGUAGCUGUGGCUUGUGCUGUCCUCCCUGCCCACAGGGCCAGAAAAUGACUGGUGCGUGGUUUUAUUUCCUAGUACAGAUGCUGGUUUAGAUGCUGUAGUGUGAAAACCAGCUUGGUUGCAGCCAAGGAGUGGAAAGGUGUCUGCCGUAGCCAGGAGGGUGUGUUGAGAAUAACCUGGUUUUUAACGUGAUGUUCAGCUUUCAGAAGCUCCCAUCAGCUAAGCGGGGUCAUGGCAUGCUACAAUCCCGUAGCAGCCGCUCCUCAGCGACGUCCUCUUCCCCCUCGGUGCUGAAUACAAGGGUGCUGUUGCCCAAAUAGCUCCUGAUGCCGGGCAUUUUGACUGUUUCCCUGGAAGAAACAAGCCCUGGAAAGGUGGUUUAGAGCAGUUUAUCUUCCAUCGCUUGGUAGAGCUGGAAGCAGAUCCCGGAGCCGCUGUUUGCCCCGUUUUCUUUCCAGCCACGCGUCCCAGCAGCCGGUAGCUCGCUGCGCGUUUCACCCUUAAGGUGCUUUAUUCGACCCGUGGUUCGUAGAUCUGUUAUUUACCCCCAACCCUUCAAGAAGGUUUAAAACAUACACCCUGUGCAAUGGUUAAAAAUCAAGACUAAAGAGUUUGUGCUUGUUAAAAAGUUUUUAUUCGAUAUUUGCGUAACUAUGUGCUUCCAGUUGGUACUCCUGCAGCGUAUUAAUUUGCAGUUCCAUGCCAGGUUCAUUUUGGUUUACUCAUUAUUUGGAACAAUUUGGCGAAAUGAGGCAUUUUUGUCGCUGUGAAGCCCCCUCUUUAAUCGCUUCCUCGGACUCUUGUGGUUGCUCGGCUGAUAUUGACCCGAGGAAGCUCUGUCGGCGCUGAGGACUGCGCAAAGCCGCUCGUUCGGGACCUGAACAUAACACAGGGUGGAUGAGACAAGAGCUGCUCUUCGUCGCGCCGGAGCGCGAGCGGCCAGAAGCUCCCACACGCGUGUGCUCUGCAGCUCUCCGGGUCUGGCUCCGGCAGCUCCUGCUCCUGGUAAUGGCCACUCGUAAACCUCUUGAAAGCAAAGUUUAUAAAGACUUUAGAAACUUUUGUUGGAUACGCUGGGCUGGAGCCCAGGACUGUGUUUGCAAACAGCGCGUUUGACUUUUCGAUGCUGCUGAUGUGGCUUCACUCCUGGGGGAGGAGGAGUGGUUAUAGAAGCGUGAAGGUGCUUUAUUCCGAUUUCCCCUCCUUCCUCCCCCCCUUUCCUGUGCAGAAAUCGCUGAGAGCUGUUCGUGCUGAGAACUGUCUUCGUUAGAAGGUGUAUUGAUAAAACCGUUCUCCUCGGGGGUAAAAAAGUUGUGUGAUACAGAACACCGUCCCCUCUGCAGUGGGAGUAGUCAGAGCUGCGUAAAACUUUUUCAGCUCGGAGUGGUGGUCACUGGAUGUGUUUUAAUUUAAGCUCUUUGCAUUUUAUUAUAGGAAUAAAACCCCCUUCCGUUUCA